CUUUUUGUAACCAAUUGUAGGAGUAGAUCGAGCUACUAUACUAUUAGGAUUACAACAGUUUUUGUGCUCCUAAUUUUCUAACUAUUCAUCAAUUUUGAUUGGUGGUUAAUUAGGAUGAGAGAGAAGAGAAAUUAAAGAGGAACUUAGAAAGAAGAGAAAUUACGCCAUCCAAUUUAUUCCCAAUUUUUCUUCUCUUUCUCACCUUAACCAUCCAUCAAAAUUGAUGAAUGGCUAGAAAGUUAAAAGCACAAGGGCUGCUGUGCUCCUAAUAGUACAGUAGCUCUACUCUCAAUCGUACUUUGUGUUUUUUCUAAAGAAAAAUUCAAGUUUUAGAAGAAAGAAGG
rnacentral:lncRNA from 1 species